rnacentral:rRNA from 1 species
GACGUAGGGCGCGAGCGUUGUCCGGAUUUAUUGGGCGUAAAGAGCUCGUAGGCGGUCUGUCGCGUCGGCUGUGAAAACCCGGAGCUCAACUCCGGGCCUGCAGUCGAUACGGGCAAACUGGAGUGUUGCAGGGGAGACUGGAAUUCCUGGUGUAGCGGUGGAAUGCGUAGAUAUCAGGAGGAACACCAAUGGCGAAGGCAGAUCUCUGGGCCGUAACUGACGCUGAGGAGCGAAAGCAUGGGGAGCGAACGGG